UUUUUUUAUUUUUAUUUUAUUAGUUUCAAUUGCAUGAAUUUUAUUUUCAAAUUUUUAAUGUAUUUUGUAUUUAAUCGCAUACACUUUUGUAAAUUUUUUAGUGGUCACCCAUUUUGGUAGAGCUCUAGGUCAAACACGUUUAAUCUUGAAGUCUCUUUCGAGAAAUCACCAAUAUAGAAGAUGACAAUAUGCAAAUUAG
rnacentral:lncRNA from 1 species